rnacentral:rRNA from 1 species
UGCAUGUCUAAGUAUAAGCAAUUAUACAGCGAAACUGCGAAUGGCUCAUUAUAUAAGUUAUCGUUUAUUUGAUAAUACCUUACUACUUGGAUAACCGUGGUAAUUCUAGAGCUAAUACAUGCUAAAAAUCCCGACUUCGGAAGGGUUGUAUUUAUUAGAUUAAAAACCAAUGCCCUCUGGGCUCUCUGGUGAAUCAUGAUAACUAGUCGAAUCGACAGGCCUUGUGCCGGCGAUGGCUCAUUCAAAUUUCUUCCCUAUCAACUUUCGAUGUUUGGGUAUUGGCCAAACAUGGUGGCAACGGGUAACGGAGGGUUAGGGCUCGACCCCGGAGAAGGAGCCUGAGAAACGGCUACUACAUCCAAGGAAGGCAGCAGGCGCGCAAAUUACCCAAUCCCGACACGGGGAGGUAGUGACAAUAAAUACUGAUACAGGGCUCUUUUGGGUCUUGUAAUCGGAAUGAGUACAAUUUAAAUCCCUUAACGAGGAACAAUUGGAGGGCAAGUCUGGUGCCAGCAGCCGCGGUAAUUCCAGCUCCAAUAGCGUAUAUUAAAGUUGUUGUGGUUAAAAAGCUCGUAGUUGAACCUUGGGCCUGGCUGGCCGGUCCGCCUCACCGCGUGUACUGGUCCGGCCGGGCCUUUCCCUCUGUGGAACCCCAUGCCCUUCACUGGGUGUGGCGGGGAAACAGGACUUUUACUUUGAAAAAAUUAGAGUGCUCAAGGCAGGCCUAUGCUCGAAUACAUUAGCAUGGAAUAAUAAAAUAGGACGUGCGGUUCUAUUUUGUUGGUUUCUAGGACCGCCGUAAUGAUUAAUAGGGACAGUCGGGGGCAUCAGUAUUCAAUUGUCAGAGGUGAAAUUCUUGGAUUUAUUGAAGACUAACUACUGCGAAAGCAUUUGCCAAGGAUGUUUUCAUUAAUCAGGAACGAAAGUUAGGGGAUCGAAGACGAUCAGAUACCGUCGUAGUCUUAACCAUAAACUAUGCCGACUAGGGAUCGGACGAUGUUACAUUUUUGACGCGUUCGGCACCUUACGAGAAAUCAAAGUGCUUGGGCUCCAGGGGGAGUAUGGUCGCAAGGCUGAAACUUAAAGAAAUGACGGAA